rnacentral:rRNA from 1 species
UACGUAGGGUGCAAGCGUUAAUCGGAAUUACUGGGCGUAAAGCGCGCGCAGGCGGUUUUGUAAGUCUGUCGUGAAAUCCCCGGGCUCAACCUGGGAAUUGCGAUGGAGACUGCAAGGCUAGAAUCUGGCAGAGGGGGGGUAGAAUUCCACGUGUAGCAGUGAAAUGCGUAGAGAUGUGGAGGAACACCGAUGGCGAAGGCAGCCCCCUGGGUCAAGAUUGACGCUCAUGCACGAAAGGCGUGGGGAGCAAACAGGAUUAGAGUACCCCGGU